rnacentral:rRNA from 1 species
AGUGAACGCUGGCGGUAGGCCUAACACAUGCAAGUCGAACGGCAGCACAGUAAGAGCUUGCUCUUACGGGUGGCGAGUGGCGGACGGGCGAGGAAUACAUCGGAAUCUACUUUUUCGUGGGGGAUAACGUAGGGAAACUUACGCUAAUACCGCAUACGACCUACGGGUGAAAGCAGGGGAUCUUCGGACCUUGCGCGAUUGAAUGAGCCGAUGUCGGAUUAGCUAGUUGGCGGGGUAAAGGCCCACCAAGGCGACGAUCCGUAGCUGGUCUGAGAGGAUGAUCAGCCACACGGGAACGGAGACACGGUCCAGACUCCGACGGGAGGCACCAGUGGGGAAUAUUGGACAAUGGGCGCAAGCCUGAUCCAGCCAUACCGCGUGGGUGAAGAAGGCCUUCGGGUUGUAAAGCCCUUUUGGUGGGAAAGAAAAGCAGCAGGUUAAUACCCCGCUGUUCUGACGGUACCCAAAGAAUAAGCACCGGCUAACUUCGUG